rnacentral:rRNA from 1 species
UACAGGGGGGGCAAGCGUUGUUCGGAAUUACUGGGCGUAAAGGGCUCGUAGGCGGCCAACUAAGUCACACGUGAAAUCCCCAGCUUAACCUGGGAACUGCGUGUGAUACUGGAUGGCUUGAAUCCGGGAGAGGGAUGCAGAAUUCCAGGUGUAGCGGUGAAAUGCGUAGAUAUCUGGAGGAAUACCGGUGGCGAAGGCGGCAUCCUGGACCGGCAUUGACGCUGAUGAGCGAAAGCUAGGGGAGCAAACGGG